rnacentral:rRNA from 1 species
GCCCUUAGAGUUUGAUCCUGGCUCAGGACGAACGCUGGCGGCGUGCCUAACACAUGCAAGUCGAACGGAACUGUUUUGAAAGAUUUCUUCGGAGUGAAUUUGAUUUAGUUUAGUGGCGGACGGGUGAGCAACGCGUGAGUAACCUGCCUUCAAGAGGGGGAUAACAUUCUGAAAAGAAUGCUAAUACCGCAUGAUAUAUCGGAACCACAUGGUUCUGAUAUCAAAGAUUUUAUCGCUUGAAGAUGGACUCGCGUCCGAUUAGUUAGUUGGUGAGGUAACGGCUCACCAAAACCGCGAUCGGUAGCCGGACUGAGAGGUUGAACGGCCACAUUGGGACUGAGACACGACCCAGACUCCUACGGGAGGCAGCAGUGGGGGAUAUUGCGCAAUGGGGGCAACCCUGACGCAGCAACGCCGCGUGAAGGAUGAAGGUUUUCGGAUUGUAAGCUUCUUUUAUUAAGGACGAAAAAUGACGGUACUUAAUGAAUAAGCUCCGGCUAACUACGUGCCAGCAGCCGCGGUAAUACGUAGGGAGCAAGCGUUGUCCGGAUUUACUGGGUGUAAAGGGUGCGUAGGCGGCUUUGCAAGUCAGAUGUGAAAUCUAUGGGCUCAACCCAUAAACUGCAUUUGAAACUGUAGAGCUUGAGUGAAGUAGAGGCAGGCGGAAUUCCCCGUGUAGCGGUGAAAUGCGUAGAGAUGGGGAGGAACACCAGUGGCGAAGGCGGCCUGCUGGGCCUUAACUGACGCAGAGGCACGAAAGCGUGGGUAGCAAACAGGAUUAGAUACCCUGGUAGUCCACGCUGUAAACGAUGAUUACUAGGUGUGGGGGGUCUGACCCCUUCCGUGCCGGAGUUAACACAAUAAGUAAUCCACCUGGGGAGUACGGCCGCAAGGUUGAAACUCAGAUGAAUUGACGG